UACGUAGGGGGCAAGCGUUGUCCGGAUUUAUUGGGCGUAAAGAGCGUGUAGGCGGCCUGAAAGGUCAGCUGUGAAAACUCGAGGCUCAACCUCGAGACGUCGGUUGAAACCGUCUGGCUAGAGUCCGGAAGAGGAGAGUGGAAUUCCUGGUGUAGCGGUGAAAUGCGCAGAUAUCAGGAAGAACACCCGUGGCUAAGGCGGCUCUCUAGUACGGUACUGACGCUGAGACGCGAAAGCGUGGGGAGCGAACAGG
rnacentral:rRNA from 1 species